GAUGAACGCUGGCGGGGGGAGGAACAAAGGCAAGUCGAACGAAGCACUUUAUUUGAUUUCCUUCGGGACUGAUUAUUUUGUGACUGAGUGGCGGACGGGUGAGUAACGCGUGGGUAACCUGCCUUGUACAGGGGGAUAACAGUUGGAAACGGCUGCUACUACCGCAUAAGCGCACGGCAUCGCAUGCUGCCGUGUGACAAACUCCGGUGGUAUAAGAUGGACCCGCGUUGGAUUAGCUAGUUGGUGAGGUAACGGCCCACCAAGGCGACGAUCCAUAGCCGACCUGAGAGGGUGACCGGCCACAUUGGGACUGAGACACGGCCCAAACUCCUACGGGAGGCAGCAGUGGGGAAUAUUGCACAAUGGGCGAAAGCCUGAUGCAGCGACGCCGCGUGAGCGAAGCAGUAUUUCGGUAUGUAAAGCUCUAUCAGCAGGGAAGAUAAUGACGGUACCUGACUAAGAAGCACCGGCUACAUACGUG
rnacentral:rRNA from 1 species